ACGCUGCAGCUGAAAAUGAAAAUUGUUCAUUGGCUUCCUGGAUAUAUUUAAAGAUAAUUAAAGCAAGAAAAAAUUAAUGAAAAAAGGUCAAUUAUCUUCAAAUGGCUUUGACUAGAUUCUUUGACGUUGCCAUUAUAAAAAUGUGUGGGGGUAGAAAUAUUUGCGAGAGAGAGUCCCCCGUCGGUCUUACGUACAUGGGAAUGGCUGGAACGGUUCGCGUCGGAUUUCGAGCUACCCGCUCAUCCGCGCGUGAUUGAAACGGAUUGAGGAUUUUACUUUUACCAUCCCUUAACAUUCGCCGAGACCACCACGGUAGGAAAGACUUAACGCUACGAAGUGGGGAUGAAGAUUUUGUGAACGUAUUGCUGAUCUACCCAGGAAAUCUGCAGAAGUGAAGGCCAGGUGAUGCAACUGUUGUUGAAGUGGAUGAAUUCCGGUACUUCUAGGAGGUGAUCCAAUGUUAUCAGGAUUCUGAAUCAUGGAGAUGCUACUGGAACUUGUA